AUGAGGUCUAAAUGCGCAUGCGUACAUCUGAUUUCUACCUCAUGGCUUACAGGCCUCACCAUGAAGCCGGCAUAUCUCUCUGGCGCUGCGGUGCCUCCAAAGCUCACCCACUAGUUCAUGAUUCAACCCAAAGGACAGACUCGCUGCACAGAGGGAUCUAUGAUGACUGUACACUCAUUGUGCCGUGCCAGACAACUUUGACAGCACUCAAUAUUCAAGUUCUCUGAUGCCAUUCAUGGAGGACCAAGCAAGAGAAUCAACGGCAUGCAGCACUGAGGGAGGGAUCUUCUCACUUGUGCAGUGCACUUGAGGUGAACUAAAGAGGGGUCUCAACAAGAUAGCCAGCUGCUCAGACGAGGAGGCGAAAGAUCAGUUUUCUGAGCCACUAUUACUAUAUACAAGAGAUCGCAUGGCGGAACGUAACUAUGUGCAUACCUUCAAUUUCCACACUAUAGCUCUGGUAAUUGGUAUUUGCUAGACUACCUGCAUGUAGCUUAUCAUACCGAGUCUUAAAAGAUUUGCUUUGAACAUUAACUAGCUUAGUUAUAGAUUGUGUAUAUUAUGAUGUUAACUUUUACUGCUUGCUGUAUAGUAUUACAUAUGCGUAUGCUUUAUUAAUAUUCAGUACAAUACCAUACACAUUAAUCUUUG